GCUUUGGUUGUUUUUCUUAUCGAGUCAUGCCUAUGCUUCAUGGGCCGAACCAAAAAUACAGAUGGUAGUCCGAUGUUUGAUGCUGGGAAAACUACGUUGGAUGAAAAAAUAGACAUGGUGAUUAAGUUUAUAAUUUUGGGGGUUACCAUUAUAGUCGUGGCCGUGCCUGAAGGACUUCCAUUGGCUGUUACUUUGAAGUAAGGCUGUUCAAACAUCUCCUAAUUGAGUAACUUGACAUAUUCUGUACUUUUGAAUGGCUUUAUAUG